GCCCCCAUCGUCCAGCGGCCUAGGACGCCGGCCUUUCACGCCGGUAACACGGGUUCGAAUCCCGUUGGGGGUG
rnacentral:tRNA from 3 species